UAACGAGGAUUCCCCUAGUAACUGCGAGUGAAGCGGGAAGAGCUCAAAUUUGUAAUCUGGUGGUCUCUGGCCGUCCGAGUUGUAAUCUGCAGAGGUGUCAUCUGCGUCGGCCCGUGUACAAGUCUCCUGGAAUGGAGCGUCAUAGAGGGUGAGAAUCCCGUCCAUGACACGGAUCACCGAGGCUCUGUGAGGCGCCCUCGAAGAGUCGCGUUGUUUGGGAAUGCAGCGCAAAAUGGGUGGUAAAUUCCAUCUAAGGCUAAAUAUUGGCGAGAGACCGAUAGUGAACAAGUACCGUGAGGGAAAGAUGAAAAGCACUUUGAAAAGAGAGUUAAACAGUACGUGAAAUCGUUGAAAGGGAAACGCUUGAAGUCAGUCACGUCCCGAGGCACUCAGCCUUGCUUCGGCUUGGUGUACUUGCCUCAGGACAGGUCAACAUCAAUUUUGGCCGAUGGAUAAGGGUGAGGGGAAUGUGGCGUCAUUUCGGUGACGUGUUAUAGCCUCUUGUCGAAUGCAUCAGCUGGAAUUGAGGACUGCAGCACGCCCUUGCGGCCAGAGGUUCACCUCAUGUAACGUGCUUAGGAUGUUGACAUAAUGGCUUUAAGCGACCCGUCUUGAAACACGGACCAAGGAGUCUAACACGCUCGCAAGUGUUCAGGUGGAAAACCCUUGCGCGUAAUGAAAGUGAAAGUUGGGAGCCUCUGUGAGGGGGUGCACCGACGCCCGGCCCUGACGUUCUCUGAUGGUGCUGCGGUAGAGCGAGCGUGUUGGGACCCGAAAGAUGGUGAACUAUGCCUGAAUAGGGCGAAGCCAGAGGAAACUCUGGUGGAGGCUCGUAGCGAUUCUGACGUGCAAAUCGAUCGUCAAAUUUGGG
rnacentral:rRNA from 1 species